CCUACGGGGUGCAGCAGUGGGGAAUAUUGGACAAUGGGCGAAAGCCUGAUCCAGCCAUGCCGCGUGUGUGAAGAAGGCCUUCGGGUUGUAAAGCACUUUCAGUGGGGAAGAAAGCCUUGGGGCUAAUACCCUCGAGGAAGGACAUCACCCACAGAAGAAGCACCGGCUAACUCCGUGCCAGCAGCCGCGGUAAUACGGAGGGUGCGAGCGUGUAAUCGGAAUUACUGGGCGUAAAGCGCGCGUAGGCGGUCUGAUAAGCCGGUUGUGAAAGCCCCGGGCUCAACCUGGGAACGGCAUCCGGAACUGUCAGGCUAGAGUGCAGGGGAGGAAGGUAGAAUUCCCGGUGUAGCGGUGAAAUGCGUAGAGAUCGGGAGGAAUACCAGUGGCGAAGGCGGCCUUCUGGACUGACACUGACGCUGAGGUGCGAAAGCGUGGGUAGCAAACAGGAUUAGAUACCCGGGUAGUC
rnacentral:rRNA from 1 species